rnacentral:rRNA from 1 species
CCUACGGGUGGCAGCAGUCGAGAAUCAUUCACAAUGGGGGAAACCCUGAUGGUGCGACGCCGCGUGGGGGAAUGAAGGUCUUCGGAUUGUAAACCCCUGUCAUGUGGGAGCAAAUUAACAAGAUAGUACCACAAGAGGAAGAGACGGCUAACUCUGUGCCAGCAGCCGCGGUAAUACAGAGGUCUCAAGCGUUGUUCGGAAUCACUGGGCGUAAAGCGUGCGUAGGCUGUUUCGUAAGUCGUGUGUGAAAGGCGCGGGCUCAACCCGCGGACGGCACAUGAUACUGCGAGACUAGAGUAAGGGAGGGGGAACCGGAAUUCUCGGUGUAGCAGUGAAAUGCGUAGAUAUCGAGAGGAACACUCGUGGCGAAGGCGGGUUCCUGGACAUUAACUGACGCUGAGGCACGAAGGCCAGGGGAGCGAAAGGGAUUAGAUACCCUAGUAGUC